rnacentral:lncRNA from 1 species
CAAAGGCAGAGGCCGCGAGGUGUCUGGUCCGGUAGAGUGGUGGCGGCAGCCGUGGGCUACGGUCUUUGCCAGCCUCCUCCUCAACCCGUCCUUGUCUUUCGAGUCCCUGGAGCCACCACCUAGGAUUCGGAAUUCCCCUGUUCUCUAGGAUUAACCCCUUUUGAAGCUGUGCGCACUAGGACCCCAUCUCUGCUGCCCGAUAUAAAAGCAGAAGUCGUUGCUGAAUUUGAUGAAAAGUUUCUUUCCUCCCUACAAGCCUCAUUCCAGGUACAGUAAUCAUCAAAAGGCACCAAAAGGAGACAUCGGAGCCUGGCUGGAAGGGACCAUAGACUUUAAUCCUGACCACAUCAAGAACAGUCAAGGUCGACGAGGUCCCGGCCUGGAUACACCA